UUGCUCUGCGUUCCAAAGACAUAAAAUAUCUGUUGCUCUUCUUUUUAGCCAACUAUCCCUCUUUCUCUGUUUUUCAGCUAAUAUCAUGGAGCCAGGGUGUGAACACACAGAUGACUUGUGCCCAGCAAAAUUCUUGGAAACUAAAGAGCAGAUGAAAUGAGAAGAUGUGACUUUACAAUUCCUACACUCACAGGCUGGAGUGCAAAUGGAAUGCAGCAGGGACUCCACAAUUUCAUUAAUUUUGGAGGAUAAAAGCAUCAUAUGCACAGCAGAAAUUGUACCAGUGAAUCAGCAUACUCCCCUAGAUGCACAAGAAAGAAAAACUAUGUCGGGUGCUGCAGGUAAGUGGGCUGCUUUUCCUAUGAAAAACACAGAGAAGAACAUUUUGUGUUGAGUCAUAAGGGUUGAGACGCAAUCAAAGCUCAGGGGUAAAAACCCAAACAAACAAAACUUAAGAUGUAAGGCUUCAAAGAAGCUGGCAGUGGGGGUAGGAAUACAUUUGUUCUAUGUGUAAUUUCUUAACAUGGCAGUAAAGCAUAGCAUAUGAGGCUUUUGAAAUGCACAAUGAUCAACUAAAGCUAAAAUUAUUUAGUUUCCCUUGAAGAAAUAAGUGAAUAAUACAGAUCUGGAAAUCAUAAGGCUGAGAACAUUUUUAUGCAUACUGCAUAACAAAAUAAACCCUUUACAUAAGACAGUAAUAAUGCCCAUUAAUGAAUAUACGUAUGGCAGAGAUUUUAAUUCCAUGCAUAUGAUUUAAUAAUCGCAGAAAAAAAACAUACAAAGAAGAAAAAAAAAACCCCACAUUAAAAAAACCUGCUUAAGCAUAAUCAAAAUUCCUUUUGCAUUGCACUUUAGAAGAGGAGAUCUGCAUCUAGACUCAGUCUCCAGCAUCCCAAACACACAAGGGUAAACCCCUGUAUAAACGGACAGUUUCAUGUAAUUUACUUGGUAUAACUCUUUCUUGCUCCCAACAGUUUUACAUUGUCCCAGUAAUUGUACUCCUUUCAUAUUUCUUCUUUUUGUACCUAAAACAUAUAUAUGAACUUCUUUGUUAAUGCUCACAGUUAUUAUAAUGGUUAUCAUAAUGGUUUCAAGCAAACAGCUCUUGUUUAAAAAAAAAAAAUAUCUCUCUAAUGUAAGUAAAUACUAUAAUUUUAGGAUUGGAAGCCGCUUUCUGUCUACUGGGAAAUAAUUUUUAAGAUUAAAUAGUUUGCAUUAAUGUCCAAAAGCUAAUAAAGAUUACUGGAAAUAGGUUUCUUCGUUUAGAAUAACUUCUGUGUAUGAUGAUGCAUAGGGUUUGUUUUUGUUGUUUUUUUUUUGCCCUUCCCGUUUUUAUUCUUUAAGGUAAAAAAAGU
rnacentral:lncRNA from 1 species